GGGGAUAUGGCGAAAUCGGUAGACGCUACGGACUUAAUUGAAUUGAGCCUUGGUAUGGAAACCCACUAAGUGAUAACUUUCAAAUUCAGAGAAACCUGGAAUUAAUAAAUAAGGGGCAAUCCUGAGCCAAAUCCCGUUUUCCCAAACCAAAGGUUCAGAAAGUGAAAAAGGGAUAGGUGCAGAGACUCAACGGAAGCUGUUCUAACAAAUGGAGUUGGCUGCGUUAGUAGAGAAAUCUUUCCAUCUAAAAUUCCGAAAGGAUAAAGUGAAGGAUAAACGUAUAUAUACGUAUUGAAUACUAUAUCAAAUGAUUAAUGUAAUCUGUAUUUUUUAUAUGAAAACGGAAGAAUUGGUGUGAAUAGAUUCCACAUUGAAGAAAGAAUCGAAUAUUCAUUGAUCAAAUGAUUCACUCCAUAGUCUGAUAGAUCUUUUCAAGAAUUGAUUAAUCGGAUGAGAAUAAAGAUAGAGUCCCGUUCUACAUGUCAAUGUCGGCAACAAUGAAAUUUAUAGUAAGAGGAAAAUCCGUCGACUUUAAAAAAUCGUGAGGGUUCAAAUCCCUCUAUCCCCAA
rnacentral:ncRNA from 1 species